ensembl:lncRNA
GUCAAUCUUAAAAUAAAGAAUCGGCUUCGAAUCGUAAAAUGAAAGAUUUUCAAGAGUUAAACUCUACAGUACUGAAUUCUUCAGCCACUAUCUUCAAUACUGAUUCAUGUUUCAGCACUCAGAAUUCCUUCAGCUCCAUAAAUUAGCAAGCACGAUCUGGCUUCCGGAAAAAUCACCAGUUUACUUGAAUACGAAACAUAAAAGUGUGCAGAACGGUUAGAGAAAAGGGAAUUCACUUCCUGUUGCAGCUACUUUCACUUAUAAAAUCGAACAAAAUGGAGGACGUUUUAAUGUCUUGGCUACAAAAGAGAAAAACCCCAUGUAGCUAACACAGAGCCUCGAUUAUCGAAACAGCUCCAAAUUUAUCCAUAAACUGUCCGUGAGAACAUUUACACAGAAUCCCGACGUUCCUGUCCCGCGAUUCAGUCCCGAGUUCGUGGACUUCGUAUGAAAUAACUAUUUAUUUGAAACGUUUGGUGAAAUCCGUUGUUGAAAGAAAGCCGUUCCAAAACAAAUGCUUAACUUAAGACGAAUUAUGACUAGUUAUUCAAUCAGUUACAUUUACAAAAGUAACGGCGCUGUAAUAAAGGAGGACGAGGCGGCAGUGCAGUGGCCGAGCUGCAUUACUGGACGAUUUAGCACGCUCUGCGUGUAGGAGGCGCUGUUUCACCAUUUUGUUUGGAUUUGUCGUCAAAUGUUCACACACAACUUCAAUAAGAGAUUAACAAUCACAGAUGACGCUCAAACAAAACAUUUCACACUUCUAAUUUAAAACGAGCAUUUUAUAUAUUUCACUCACAUUACAGUGCGAGCGUUUCCUGUUUAUUUUUAUUUUUUUAAACGCCGAUUUAGGUUCGAUCCGUCAAACCUCAUUCAAACAACACCAGCUGCUCGAUACUCACAAUAAACCUCACGCCGUUUUCCCGUCGCGGACGGUGCGAUAAUCCCACGGCACGAGUAAAUAAUCCAGUAUUCGGAAGAGGGAAUCGUGGGUAAUCCUUAAUCCGUAAAACGUUCCCAAGUCGAUAUAAUCCAAAAUCCCAAACUUGAGCGCGGUCGUGAAGUUGAGCCUUCCGAUAAAAUCCCGCAGAUCUGAAAAAGAUUUGCACAUUUACAAUGAUUACCAAAUGAACUAUCGUUUCUAUAGUAACAGCUCGUUUAAAAAAAAAAAAAAACAAGUGUGAGGAGACGUUUAUUAUACAUUUUAUAGAACUUUCCUGAGUGCUUUCUUUUCUCCUUUUUUUGCACUAAUAAACAUAAUAAUCGUUAGAGAACGUCCCGUUUCUAUUGAACUCAGAGGCCACGCCCACUUCUCCAAGACCGACAGCGGCGUGUAUGGAACGUUGUACGGAAGGAGUCAAGGCCAGGAGUAAGGACAAGCCAUAAACGUUUAGGGUGCCAAAAUUUAGGGUGUAUUUCUCAGAGGAAAACAAAGGAUUUUCUCGGCGAGAGAACCCUUAAGAGGUCCAAUGUUCUUCAAACAUUAUUGGUUCCUAUAAAAGUUCUUUUUAAAUCCUAUAUACUUUUAGUGUGAACUCAAAAAAAAAAUAAAUAAACGUCCUGUGACCUUCAUGAACAUCUCAAACAUGGGGCUGUUCGGAUGGUUAAAAGUUCUACAUUCUAAAUAGGUUCUACGUGAAAAGUUUUCUCACUGUGUUCUAGGGUCCAUCGUAGAACCCUCUACGCUUUCCCUCAGCUAAAUCAGCUGCUAAAUCGAUCCUUCAGGAGUAAAAAUAAAGAGCUCCUGGACUUUCUUUAGCGUUCAUCGCCAGAGGAACCAUUCAAUGUUCCUCCACGUUCGUGAAUCAUUAACGGUUCCUAAUAGAACCAGUAUAAACGGAAGUAAAACGUCCUGUGAUCUGCAUGUGCAACUCAUCCGAGGGUUCUUUAGACUCCGCGGUUCUAACUUUCUCAGUAGGCUUUACUCAGAAGCUUUCUGAAAAGGAAACGCUUUGUUGGAACUUGACUUUUUUCUAGUUUGAGAACCCUGCUUUGGAGUGCUACAAAAGAACCUUGGUUCCUUAAGGGUUCUUUGGAUUAGUUAAUGGUUCUAAAUGUCUGAAGGGGAAAUUUUCCCAAAAGGAAACCCUCUGUUGCGGUGAACGAGAACCUUUACACAGUCCCUUGAACAUUGAGCACAAGCCAAAAGGACAUUAAGAGUGCUUUCUAAAACUAAAGCAAAGGAUUUUCUCAUCAGUGGGAACUUUGGGCUCCUCCUCAAACAUUAAUGCUUCCUAAAAGAACAUGACUUUAAUAAGAACCUAUAUUAGAUGAUGUAUAGAACCC